GCUGAAGCUCACCAUCGGCCUGAUAUUCCUCGCCAACUAAAUGAUUCUCAAUGUACAACGCGAGAAUAGCAGCCGGGGUAAAGAUUGGUGCAGCAACAGGCCGAGAUGAGCUUAUGUUCCUGGCAGCUGUUGGCGUGCAGGAAUGAACAGUCUGCGUACUGGCACUCGCAUUGUUGGGGUUGUGGCAGCAGCACGAGUCGUGGAACAGCUUCUCGCUGCAGUACGGAUAGACGGAGGAAUCGCACAGCG